rnacentral:rRNA from 1 species
GUACACACCGCCCGUCACACCAUGGGAGUGGGUUGCACCAGAAGCCGGUAGUCUAACCUUCGGGAGGGCGCCGACCACGGMGUGAUUCAUGACUGGGGUGAAGUCGUAACARGGUAGCCGUAGGUGAACCUGCAGAAGGAUCA